rnacentral:rRNA from 1 species
UGGGGAAUAUUGGACAAUGGGCGCAAGCCUGAUCCAGCCAUGCCGCGUGGGUGAAGAAGGCCUGCGGGUUGUAAAGCACUUUCGGUAGGGAAGAUAAUGACGGUACCUACAGAAGAAGCACCGGCUAACUCCGUGCCAGCAGCCGCGGUAAUACGGAGGGUGCGAGCGUUAAUCGGAAUUACUGGGCGUAAAGCGCGCGUAGGCGGCUUUGUAAGUCGGAUGUGAAAGCCCCGGGCUUAACCUGGGAAUUGCAUUCGAUACUGCAUAGCUAGAGUAUGGUAGAGGGUAGCGGAAUUCCGGGUGUAGCGGUGAAAUGCGUAGAUAUCCGGAGGAACACCAGUGGCGAAGGCGGCUACCUGGACCAAUACUGACGCUGAGGCGCGAAAGCCAGGGGAGCAAACGGGAUUAGAUACCCAUGUAGUCCCUGAGCGGGCUGGCAAGGCGCAU